GCCGGAGUAGCUCAGUGGUAGAGCGUCCGCCUGAAGAGCGGUAGGUCGCCAGUCCGAUUCUGGCCUCCGGCA
rnacentral:tRNA from 3 species